rnacentral:rRNA from 1 species
AGAGUUUGAUCCUGGCUCAGGACGAACGCUGGCGGCGUGCCUAACACAUGCAAGUCGAACGGAGUUAAGACUUCGGUUUUAACUUAGUGGCGAACGGGUGAGUAACGCGUGAGAAACCUGCCUUUCAGUGGGGGACAACAGUUGGAAACGACUGCUAAUACCGCAUAAUGUUAUUUGGGGGCAUCCCUGAAUAACCAAAGAUUUAUUGCUGAAAGAUGGUCUCGCGUCUGAUUAGCUAGUUGGUGAGGUAACGGCUCACCAAGGCGACGAUCAGUAGCCGGUCUGAGAGGAUGAACGGCCACAUUGGGACUGAGAUACGGCCCAGACUCCUACGGGAGGCAGCAGUGGGGAAUAUUGGGCAAUGGGGGAAACCCUGACCCAGCAACGCCGCGUGAAGGAAGAAGGCCUUCGGGUUUGUAAACUUCUUUUACCAGGGACGAAGAAAUGACGGUACCUGGAGAAAAAGCAACGGCUAACUACGUGCCAGCAGCCGCGGU